rnacentral:rRNA from 1 species
GAUGAACGCUGGCGGCGUGCCUAAUACAUGCAAGUCGAGCGAACAGACGAGGAGCUUGCUCCUCUGACGUUAGCGGCGGACGGGUGAGUAACACGUGGAUAACCAACCUAUAAGACUGGGAUAACUUCGGGAAACCGGAGCUAAUACCGGAUAAUAUAUUGAACCGCAUGGUUCAAUAGUGAAAGAGGGUUUUGCUGUCACUUAUAGAUGGAUCCGCGCCGCAUUAGCUAGUUGGUAAGGUAACGGCCUACCAAGGCAACGAUGCGUAGCCGACCGGAGAGGGUGAUCGGCCACACUGGAACUCGGACACGCUCCAGACUCCUACGGGAGGCAGCAGUAGGGAAUCGUCCGCAAUGGGCGAAAGCCUGACGGAGCAACGCCGCGUGAGUGACGAAGGUCUUCGGAUCGUAAAACUCUGUUAUGAGUGAAGAACAAAUGUGUAAGUAACUAUGCACGUCUUGACGGUACCUAAUCAGAAAGCCACGGCUAACUACGUG